CGCGUAGGCGGUCUGUUAAGUUCGGUGUGAAAGCCCCCGGCUUACCCGGGGAACUGCGCCGGAAACCGAUAGACUCGAGUACCGGAGAGGAGGGUGGAAUUCCUGGUGUAGCGGUGAAAUGCGUAGAUAUCAGGAGGAACACCGGUGGCGAAGGCGGCCCUCUGGACGGAUACUGACGCUGAGGCGCGAAAGCGUGGGGAUCAAACA
rnacentral:rRNA from 1 species